rnacentral:rRNA from 1 species
UACGAAGGGGGCUAGCGUUGCUCGGAAUUACUGGGCGUAAAGCGCACGUAGGCGGCUUUCUAAGUCGGGGGUGAAAUCCUGGAGCUCAACUCCAGAACUGCCUUCGAUACUGGAGAGCUUGAGUCCGGGAGAGGUGAGUGGAAUUGCGAGUGUAGAGGUGAAAUUCGUAGAUAUUCGCAAGAACACCAGUGGCGAAGGCGGCUCACUGGCCCGGAACUGACGCUGAGACGCGAAAGCGUGGGGAGCAAACAGG